rnacentral:rRNA from 1 species
AGUGAACGCUGGCGGUAGGCCUAACACAUGCAAGUCGAACGGCAGCACAGUAAGAGCUUGCUCUUACGGGUGGCGAGUGGCGGACGGGUGAGGAAUACAUCGGAAUCUACUUUUUCGUGGGGGAUAACGUAGGGAAACUUACGCUAAUACCGCAUACGACCUACGGGUGAAAGCAGGGGAUCUUCGGACCUUGCGCGAUUGAAUGAGCCGAUGUCGGAUUAGCUAGUUGGCGGGGUAAAGGCCCACCAAGGCGACGAUCCGUAGCUGGUCUGAGAGGAUGAUCAGCCACACUGGAACUGAGACACGGUCCAGACUCCUACGUGAGGCAGCAGUGGGGAAUAUUGGACAAUGGGCGCAAGCCUGAUCCAGCCAUACCGCGUGGGUGAAGAAGGCCUUCGGGUUGUAAAGCCCUUUUGUUGGGAAAGAAAAGCAGCAGGUUAAUACCCCGCUGUUCUGACGGUACCCAAAGAAUAAGCACCGGCUAACUUCGUG